rnacentral:rRNA from 1 species
GACGAACGCUGGCGGCGUGCCUAAUACAUGCAAGUUGAGCGCUGAAGGUUGGUACUUGUACCAACUGGAUGAGCAGCGAACGGGUGAGUAACGCGUGGGGAAUCUGCCUUUGAGCGGGGGACAACAUUUGGAAACGAAUGCUAAUACCGCAUAAAAACUUUAAACACAAGGUUUAAGUUUGAAAGAUGCAAUUGCAUCACUCAAAGAUGAUCCCGCGUUGUAUUAGCUAGUUGGUGAGGUAAAGGCUCACCAAGGCGAUGAUACAUAGCCGACCUGAGAGGGUGGUCGGCCACAUUGGGACUGAGACACGGCCCAAACGCCUACGGGAGGCAGCAGUAGGGAAUCUUCGGCAAUGGACGGAAGUCUGACCGAGCAACGCCGCGUGAGUGAAGAAGGUUUUCGGAUCGUAAAACUCUGUUGGUAGAGAAGAACGCUGGUGAGAGUGGAAAGCUCAUCAAGUGACGGUAACUACCCAGAAAGGGACGGCUAACUACGUG